GAGAUGUUGGGUUAAGUCCCGCAACGAGCGCAACCCUUGUCAUUAGUUGCUACGAAAGGGCACUCUAAUGAGACUGCCGGUGACAAACCGGAGGAAGGUGGGGAUGACGUCAAGUCCUCAUGGCCCUUACGGGUAGGGCUUCACACGUGCUACAAUGGUCGGUACAAAGGGUUGCGAAGUCGCGAGGCGGAGCCAAUCCCAAAAAGCCAAUCUCAGUUCGGAUUGGAGUCUGCAACUCGACUCCAUGAAGUCGGAAUCGCUAGUAAUCGCGGAUCAGAAUGUCGCGGUGAAUACGUUCCCGGGCCUUGUACACACCGCCCGUCACACCAUGGGAGCGGGUUUUACCAGAAGUAGCUAGCCUAACCGUAAGGAGGGCGGUUACCACGGUAGGAUUCGUGACUGGGGUGAAGUCGUAACAAGGUAGCCGUAGGGGAACCUGCGGCUGGAUCACCUCCUU
rnacentral:rRNA from 14 species